rnacentral:rRNA from 1 species
GACGAACGCUGGCGGCGUGCUUAACACAUGCAAGUCGAGCGGUAAGGCCCUUUCGGGGGUACGACGAGCGGCGAACGGGUGAGUAACACGUGGGUGACCUGCCCUCAGCUCUGGGAUAAGCCUGGGAAACCGGGUCUAAUACUGGAUAUGACUCCAUGACGCAUGUUGUGGGGUGGAAAGCCUUGUGCGGCUGAGGAUCGGGCCCGGCGGCCUAUCAGCUUGUUGGUGGGGGUGAGGCCUACCAAGGCGACGACGGGUAGCCGGCCUGAGAGGGCGACCGGCCACACUGGGACUGAGACACGGCCCAGACU